ACUGGGAUUCAGCCUGUAGCCUUACCUGACUGUAACAACCCUCCUAAAAUAGGAGACGUCGUUCAGGUUGCAGGACUUGGUGGUAUAGGGUAAAUGCGACAGGCCACACACUCGAUGACCAACCACCUCAUCUCCAGUGUGCAAACAUGCAUGUUGUUGACUGUGAGCCUACCAGAAACUCUCCAUGUUAUUCAGAUGUGCCGUAUAACAACAGGCUGUGUCUGAA